UACGGAGGGUGCUAGCGUUGCUCGGAAUUACUGGGCGUAAAGCGCACGUAGGCGGCUUUCUAAGUCGGGGGUGAAAUCCUGGAGCUCAACUCCAGAACUGCCUUCGAUACUGGAGAGCUCGAGUCCGGGAGAGGUGAGUGGAACUGCGAGUGUAGAGGUGAAAUUCGUAGAUAUUCGCAAGAACACCAGUGGCGAAGGCGGCUCACUGGCCCGGUACUGACGCUGAGGUGCGAAAGCGUGGGGAGCAAACAGG
rnacentral:rRNA from 1 species